GUGAGGAAUAUUGGUCAAUGGGCGGAAGCCUGAACCAGCCAUCCCGCGUGAAGGAAGAAGGCCUUAUGGGUUGUAAACUUCUUUUCUGUUUGAAGAAUAAGCUUGUCGAGACAAGUGAUGCCGGUAGGACAGGAAUAAGCAUCGGCUAACUCCGUGCCAGCAGCCGCGGUAAUACGGAGGAUGCAAGCGUUAUCCGGAUUUAUUGGGUUUAAAGGGUGCGCAGGUGGUUUAAUAAGUCAGUGGUGAAAGUCUGCCGCUUAACGGUAGGAUUGCCAUUGAUACUGGUGGACUUGAAGAUGGAUGAGGUAGGCGGAAUGUGUAGUGUAGCGGUGAAAUGCUUAGAUAUUACACAGAACACCGAUUGCGAAGGCAGCUUACUAAUCCAUGAUUGACGCUGAGGCACGAAAGCGUGGGGAUCAAACAGGAUUAGAUACCCGUGUAGUCC
rnacentral:rRNA from 1 species